rnacentral:other from 2 species
GUUCUGCUGCGACGUUGGUGAUUUGCCGAUAUGUUUUUUUGAUCUAUAGCUUUAAGAAUACGGGAACCAAGAGAAUUGCAGGCGGCAGUAAACCGAGCUUAGACUCGGAAACUUUAAGUCUGGUCGAGGUACCCACCUGGUUUUACCCAGGUCAAAAGCAACAGGCAACACGGCGUUGCGGUUAACCU